CCUGGUGCGAGGCUGCUGGUCGUAAAUUAAUUUAGUAAUUGCGUCCGUAUAUAUGAGUGGAUCUUGAUCAUUUAGAACCAUACGAUCCUCUUAACGCAUAACUAAUGUAGGACUAAAGAUAUUCUUUUCACCACUAUGUGAGAUAUUAUCUGCUUUGGUUCAUAAUCAUCUUUAGAUUUCAGUAGGUCUUAAAUUUUAGUGAGCUUUGGUCAUUUAGAGCCUUACUAUUUUGCUCUUUAAAAAAUAUUUCAUAUGGAAAAGAAGAUUUCAAUCUAUAUAAAUUAUACUCCUUUUUGACUAAUAAUCGAUGU
rnacentral:lncRNA from 1 species